GGCCAGACUCCUACGGGAGGCAGCAGUGGGGAAUAUUACACAAUGGGGGAAACCCUGAUGCAGCGACGCCGCGUGAGUGAAGAAGUAUUUCGGUAUGUAAAGCUCUCUCAGCAGGGAAGAAAAUGACGGUACCUGACUAAGAAGCCCCGGCUAACUACGUGCCAGCAGCCGCGGUAAUACGUAGGGGGCAAGCGUUAUCCGGAUUUACUGGGUGUAAAGGGAGCGUAGACGGCAUGGCAAGUCAGAUGUGAAAGCCCGGGGCUCAACCCCGGGACUGCAUUUGAAACUGUCAGGCUGGAGUGCAGGAGAGGUAAGUGGAAUUCCUAGUGUAGCGGUGAAAUGCGUAGAUAUUAGGAGGAACACCAGUGGCGAAGGCGGCUUACUGGACUGUAACUGACGUUGAGGCUCGAAAGCGUGGGGAGCAAACAGGAUUAGAUACCCCCGUA
rnacentral:rRNA from 1 species